AACGGAGCUGAAGUAGACGUCGAUGGAUCAGUUUCACAAAGAAAUUCCACUGCGAGCUGCUUGACCUGUGGGGACCCGCCCCGCCCUCAAGGAUAUUUUACUUUUAAAUCACUGCAUACAAAUGACCCCGCCCCCCCCCCCCCCCCCCGCAAAAGAAGAAAGGAAACAUGCAGCCUGCAGACACAAGAUAGUUUAUGGAACAACAUUUUGUCUCGAGACAAAAUAGGAUUUAUUCAUUUUGGUUUUUCUUCCCCCGUGAGAAACACAGGUCAAAACAAUCAAGAGAGAACAGCGAGUGUGUGUUGGAGCUCCAUUCAUCAUCAGUGUUGCCCACUGCAGCAUACACACACACAAACAGGCUUGUGAUCGCACAUCUCCCUGCAGCUAUCGCAUCACUCUGGCCUCCAUUCAACUAUUCAACUCACAGCGAGUCUAUUCAUUCCGCCCGCGGGUGUCCGAUAACGCACUUCAUCUACUUUCUCAAGAAUCAAUCGGAUCUUCUGAUCGACACUGCAUCUCAUCGGAGCCGUCGGGACAUUGGGCGCGUCCAUCGCACACCUCCAUCUUGGAAACACACUUUCGCCGGUCGCUGCACAUGAAGUCACCUGGUGUGCAGGAUGAAGAUUGUGUCACAGUUGUCUGAAGCCAUUAUUAUAUUGCUGGGUAGAGUGCAGCCACUUCUGCAAUUGCUGGACUCGGGCUUACCUUGCCUCUCACACUGAAGCACACAGUCACUUUCAUCAAAUCCAUCAGGGCAGUCUCGGUGUGCGUCACACAGCUGAUUUUGAGAGAUGCACAGCGAUGAGCCUGGGCAGAGGACUGAAGGAGCCUUGCAGGCUGACGUGGAAGUGCGGACAGGAGGCCCAGCUGCUGUUACAGCAACAACAGUAGUAGGAUCUGAAGAGAAGAGAAUUUAGCGUUAAAGCCAACAUGUGUCAUCCAUUAACUUCUAGGGGUAACGCAACCACAUUAGUCCAAUCAAUAAAUCCAUGAGGACUUACCGCAGCCGACCUCAUCCGUGCCAUCAAGACAGUCUCUCUCUCCAUCGCACAGGAAUUUCUUUGGGAUGCAGCGCUUGCCGUCGGCACAGCGAUACUCGCAGCUCUUGGUUUUUUGCCAGCAGUCAAGCUCAUCGGACUGGUCCCGACACUGCGACGUCCCAUCGCACACCUGAGCCCGGGGGAUGCACAUCUUGCCGUGGGCGCACUGAAACUCGUCUGGGUCGGAGGACAGUUUAAAGUACGAGUGAGUGAAUGAAAUCGAUUGAGGCUAAUCCUCAGGUACUCAGUUACAGCAAGACGUGUUUCUAAAGUCCUUGCUUCACUUUCAUUUCCUUUAUGAUUUUAGUGUUUAGGGAUUGAACUGCGGGCUUGGUUGAAUCAAGUUUGCCUCAACUAUGGUUCAAUGUGCUCUGUAAGAUUCAAUUAAAAGUUUUCAGUGUUUAAAGUGUU